UACAGGGGGGGCAAGCGUUGUUCGGAAUUACUGGGCGUAAAGGGUUCGUAGGUGGCCAACUAAGUCAGACGUGAAAUCCCUCAGCUUAACUGGGGAACUGCGUCUGAUACUGGAUGGCUUGAAUCCGGGAGAGGGAUGCAGAAUUCCAGGUGUAGCGGUGAAAUGCGUAGAUAUCUGGAGGAAUACCGGUGGCGAAGGCGGCAUCCUGGACCGGCAUUGACGCUGAGGAGCGAAAGCCAGGGGAGCAAACGGG
rnacentral:rRNA from 1 species